CACUUCUCCUUCCUGUUCUGACUACUAUUGUCACUGAGUCUUGUUUUCAGAUGUCUUUCUGCAGUAUCAGAUUUAUAAGAACCAGAGGAAACAUUAACAAAUGUUUAUUAGCAGCUGUUAUAUGAAAGGUAAUGAACCAGAUUAUAUGUUUAGCCCCAGUUUAUACUGGAGUAGAAGCAUUAAGAGAAAUGCACAAAUAACUACAAUACUAAAUGCAGUGUAUGGAAUAUAUCAUGAGUGUGGUAGAAAGAAAUUGCUACAGAAGAUGAGAGAAGGAAGAAAUCUUUAAGGAUGUGUGGCAUGAACUCCUGGCCUUUUUAUCUACAGAGAGGGCAACGGAAGGCAAUUAUCAGGGCUCAUCUCCUUGGCCAUGACUUUGCUGAUCCUUCAUGUUUUCAGGAAAGACAUUUGUUCCUGUGGAAAAGAUAGAGAUUCUGAGAGUGGAGAGAAGGAGAGAAAGAGAAUGCUGGAGGGGAAGAAGAGUAAUAAUUAAAAAGGGGAGCCAGAAAGCAAAUGGUAAGGAGGACAGAAGACCAAGAAUGCAGGUGAUCUUUCCAAAUGGUGCUCUGACAGUUGCUUUAGGUGCAACGGAAUAGCAAUCAAUUAGCGAUGGAAUAAUAUUACACAGUUUCCUCUAUUUUCUUCACUGUUCAUGUGGCUGCUGAAAUCAAACUGAAACAAAAAAGCAAAAUUUAUUAAAUCCAAAUUUGUUGCUUGAUGAUAUUAUUUUAUUUAUUCAAAAUUUCAAGAAACCCUGACGUUUUAAUUUCCAGAUGAAAACGUAGUUUUGAUUUUCAGACUAAUUUAUGAUAAUAGGCUUCCAAGCUAUUUUUGUAAUUCCAUUGUUAUCAUUGCACAUAAUAUUUGCCACAAUUGGAGUAUGGAAGGUGUGUAAAACACACCUUUCUUCAUGCUGAUUAUAAUAGGCUGUAAUUUUUUCGUCUUUGAUUUCCGUAAUCACUACUAGCUAUUGUUGUCUUUCAUGCUUAACCCAAAUGAGACAUAUAUGAGGGGCAUCAGAAGUAACAUUCAUAUACUCUUUAAUUGCUUCUACAAAAACAUAACUAUAAAGACAACAGAAUUUAUCAAGAUGUAUAAAAUAAGAUGUAUAAAAUAAGAUCAGUUUAUAGCCAGAUUUUUUUAAAAGGAAUAAGCAUCUGAGCUUGGGAGGGAAGUACUAUUUAAAGUUUUUAGGCCAGCAUUUAAUUUAAUCGUAACAGGAUGUUCUUCUGGGCUAAUAGAGGUUUACAAUGAAUCUUCCACCACACUUCUGCCUUUGUAUAACCACUGCAAACAACUUGCCAGAUUCUCCUUUGCCUGAGCUCUCUGAGGCUCUGCAUGUCAGAACUUACCAUGAAAGUAGUUACUUCAGCCCACAAAGCUUUUAGAACCUGUUGCCUCAAGUUACUCUCCAUUGCUUUCAUUCCCAGUCAAGAAGUAUUCCUCCUUGAUGAAGUCUUUUAACUUCUCUCCGUUGCACCAGCAAGAAAAUUCCUGCCAUCCUUAGCAGAUUUUAAGCGGAGUUAAAGGUUUCAGAAAAACACGACCAAUCACCGUG
ensembl:lncRNA